UUUCGAGGUAGUCAUAAGACUCUUUUUAACACCAUAGCUUUUGUUAGUAUAUGGCAAGUGGUGUUAGCACCAAGAUGGUUUUUCAAAAUUUCUGUAUAUCACACAAGAUUUUCGUAUUCUGUUUAGAAAAUAUUAUCUUCAUUACUAUUGACGAAUCCUCUGGUAGACAAAAGAGGUGGAGAUGGAGCAGAAGGCUAAGGCUCUCCAUGAUGAUAUAACAAAACAUGUGAGUAUAUAUCUGGAAAAAAAAACAUAAAGAGGAGUAUCUAGAGCAGAGAGAACUUCUUGAAAAACCUUCAGAGCAGGAGAGAUUAUUAAGAUAGAAACUCCGAGGAUCAUCGAAGACUCUCUCUUUUAGUUCUUCUCCUUCGAAUAAUUUUUUUUUCUGCAACUCUUGUUCCUAGACGGGGAAGAAGAAGAAGACAGCAAAAGAGAUACUCUUAUGACCACAAAAUCACAGCUCAGAAACUCCGCCGAUUCAACUCCUAAUCCUCCUUCUCCGCCUCGCUUCUUUCUGCUUCUCCCUCGCCUCCGCCGUCGUUAUGCUCACCAAUUCCCGCGGCUCCGUUCUCCUCAUUGGUACCAUCUCGACGCUUCCAGGUUCGACUCUCUUCAAAACCAUGGGUGAAUCUGUCUGAAAAUUGAGAUCAAUUGCGUUGUAUUCGGUGUUUAACUUAUUGUUGAUGUAGAUCUGGUUUAUACUGCAGAUCUGGAAAUAAGGAGAUGAAGAAAUAUCAAACGCUUCUUCCCAAAUUCGAUGGAUAAGAUGAUGGUAGAGCCUCAGCGAAGGUGGUGUAUGGAGAGGUGCAGAAGAGAGAACGGUGGAGCCUCAUCGAAAGUGGAGAGAUUGAACAAAAUUCUCAGCCUGAAUCUGGUGGCGCGUGGAACAGGGGGAGAAAGGUGGAUCUUGGAGAAAAUAAUUUGAUUUUAAAUUUUUUUUUUUUUUUAUAAUUUGUAAUUCAU